CACAAAUACAACGAAGGGGGAGAGAGAUAUCUAGGAACAAUUCCUCCUUUCUGGAACGAAUUAAGGAGAGAGAGAGAGAGAGAGAGAGAGAGAGAGAGAGGAACAAUUCCUCCUUUCUGGGUUAAUCCGUCUGCAUAAAACGAGAGAGAGAGAGAGAGAGAGAGAGAGAGAGUGAGAGAGAGAGCUUUGGGUUUGGUUUUGAUUUUGAUUUCCAAGAGAGGAGCCAAAACCCACCAACAUUCUCAUUCAGUCUACAAAUUCCAUAGGACCUAUAUUUGUAUAGCUUUAGAUUAGUCAAAGGAUAAUAACAAUUGGUUUAGGUUUUUUAUUCGAUUUUUUUUUUUGUCCCAUGGUUACACAAAAACCCAGAGAAGAAGAAGGAGGGAGUUAUGAUUGGAGAUAGCAAUAUUCCAGAUUUUGGGGGUCCAUCUUCUUCUACCAACAAAGGUAUGGCCCAAAUCAAACUGGAAUCAAAGAGGGUCUAUCAAGCCUGGAAGGGCAAUAACAAAUUUCUAUGCGGGGGAAGAUUGAUCUUUGGUCCUGAUGCGGAGUCCCUGUUUUUAACCACAUUCCUAAUUGCUGGCCCUGCAAUAGCUUUUUGCACAAAAAUCUACUGCAAUGUCAAUAAAGGCAAAGAUGACAGUUGGGGGUAUGUUGUAAUGGUUGUGGGAUCUAUCCUCACUAUUUUGGAUUUAACAUUUCUCUUCUUGACAUCCAGUAGAGACCCUGGAAUAGUGCCUAGAAACUCAAGGCCUCCUGAAUCAGAUGAAGGAUAUGGCGUAGGUACCCCUUCUAUUAGAAACUCAAGGCCUCCUGAAUCAGAUGAAGCAUAUAGCUUGGGUACCCCUUCGAUGGAAUGGGUCAAUGGUACAACCCCUCAUUUAAAAGGACCCCGAAUGAAGGAUGUAAUUGUCAAUGGUCAUGCAGUUAAAGUGAAGUACUGCGACACUUGCUUGCUUUAUCGUCCUCCUCGUGUUUCUCAUUGUGCCACAUGCAACAACUGUAUUCAGAGAUUCGACCAUCACUGUCCAUGGGUCGGUCAGUGCAUUGGAAGACGCAACUAUCGGUUCUUCUACAUGUUCAUAUUAACAUCAACCAUCUUGUGUGUGUAUGUCUUCGUGUUUUCGUGGAUAAACAUUAUCCGGCAUGAAGCCAGUGUUAUGGAGGCUUUGUCGGAAGAUAUCUUAUCAGAUUUUCUAAUAAUGUACUGCUUCAUUGCUGUUUGGUUCGUGGGCGGCCUUACAGUUUUCCAUCUUUAUCUAACUUGCAAAAACCAGACGACUUAUGAGAACUUCCGUUAUCGAUAUGACAAGAAGGAGAACCCAUAUAACAAGGGGAUUCUAGACAACCUCAGAGAAACCUUUUUCUCUAAGAUUCCACCUUCAUUGAUUGACUUCAGAGCGUUAGUGCAAGAAUGCGAAAACGUGGGGAUAGAGCUCAGGAACCCAAACCUUGAGGGAAGUCAUAGUAGCUUGAAGGACAAGAUUGAUACUGAAAUGGAAACUAAGCUUGCUGAGAUGAGUGGCUUUUCACUUCCUGAAAUUUUGCGGAAUUUGGAUUACAAUGACGUAGAGGACAAUCACAAUGUUAGAAGUAGAGAGGGAAAUGGAAGGCUAGAUUCUGACCUAUUUUUCCUUAAUAUAGAUAUAGAAGAAGAACCAAUAGACUUUAUUCAGAGCUCCAAUGCGGAAGAUGAGGCUCAUGGGAAAACUAGCAAAGGGAGCUCAAUUAUUCAAAAUGAGGUUCAUCGAAUAUAGAGGUAUUAUUAUUGUUCAGUUGUAAAAGUUAUACCAGCAUGGCUGUACAUAUUUGGGUUGGUUUGGUUUGGGCAUCUCUUUUAGGAAUGGUAUACCGUGUUGUGGUAUGUGAAGGAUCUCUUCUUUGUACUUGGCGGUGUGUAAAGCUCUAUCAGCUCUCAAAUGGAAGAUGAAUGCAUGCAAAGUAAUUUCUCGAAGAAAACUUAUGUUCAUGUAUUUAAGACUCGUGCUGCUUGUACAUAGCCGUCUCGUGUUCAACAAAAGUGAGCAAUCUUGUUAGGGUGAUUAACUGAUUAUGCUGUGUAACUCUUUUUUUUCUUUUCUCGACGGGUUCUUCCCCCAACUUUUGCUUUCACUUCUUCUUCUUCUUCUUCUUUUCCUGUUUCUAUAGAAAAUGUAGGAUAAUGUAGAGACUGAUGGUUCUUUGAAGGAUAUAUUAGAUGAAAUCAUGUGUUGAUUACCAUGUUUUUCUCUUUACUCUUUAGUGGAAAAUUGUGAAAAUAUUGCGAUGA